GCGAAACUGGACGAAAGUUUUUAUAUUUUUUUAUAUCAUUUGUGGCAAGUUGAAAGUGUUUCGUGAAUAUAUAUUUAUUUUUUUUUUAAAAGAAACAAAAAAAAAAAAAAAAAGAAAGAGUCUUGUGAUUUACUUAGUGCUAAUUAAUUAAUUUCCAUGCAGAUCUUUCAAUAUGAAAUUCACACGACGAAAAGGGGAAUUUUUUUUUUCAAAUAAAAUAUUUAAAUAUUUUAUUGCUGGGAUAUUUGUUUUAACUUGGAUAAAUUGUGCAACAGGAUGUCAAUUUUAUCCAGUUGGUGAAUAUUUAAAGUUCAUCAGAGUACCUGAAAAUUUAGCAGUUGGUGCUGAAGUAUUGUCUCUUGAAGUUCAUCCACGUACUCAAUUAACAAUCAUUCCAAUUGACCAGGAAGAAGAUGCUAAAUAUUUUUCUUACAAGGAUGUUAAUGAGACUCAUAUAUCUGUGAUACUUUCACAAUCACUUGAUAAUUUAAUUGAUUCUGGAUAUUCAAGGAACAUUCUGAAGUUUCGUUUUCUUUGCGAUUACUCAGACACUGCUAAUUCACUGAUUUCUUCUCAUUUGUCGAUGACUGUUUACGUUGAAGAUGUCAAUGAUCAUACACCACAAUUUAUUGGAGCACCUUAUAACGUGGCUGUUGAUGAAUUGACACCACCAGGUACAAUAAUAUUUCGUGGAAUUAAUGCAUUUGAUGGUGACAAAAUAAACACACCAAAUAGCGAUGUGCAUUAUGCGAUAGUGAGAGGUAAUGAGGAUGAUAAAUUUUCUCUCGAAUCUGGUCAUCGAACUGCUUUAAUCCUUCGAAAAUCACUCGACUAUGACAAUGGUGAUAGAAAAUAUCAGCUCGUUAUAACAGCAACAGAUCGUGGUACACCAGUUAGAAGUGCAAAUACAACAAUUAUUAUUAACGUGAUGGACAAUGAUGACCUUGCUCCAAAAUUCACUCAAGACACGUACAGAGCAAAAAUAUACGAGACUUAUCCUUUUCCGAGAAGCUCGAUUCAUACAGAGAUACACUUCGACAAUCCAAUAUCAGCAAAAGACCAAGACACAUCAAUAAAUACACCGAUAAAAUAUACUAUAAUGACUGGUAAUGAACGUGGAUUAUUUAAAAUAAAUUCACAAAAUGGUAGUUUAUAUCUUCAACGUCCAAUUGAUAUUGAUAAUGAAAAAAUUCCAAACAAUACAUUUCAUUUACAAAUUCAUGCAAUGCAAAUUGAUAGUCCAUUAAAGUAUGAUAACGCAAGAGUUGAAAUUGAAAUACUUGAUUUAAAUGAUAAUUUACCUGUAUUUGAAGUUGAAAAUUAUAACAUAAGUAUUGUUGAAAAUUUACCAAAUGGUUUUAGUGUUUUACAAGUUGUUGCAACAGACAAUGAUCAAGGUGAUAAUGCUGAAUUUAUUUAUCAAUUAAAUGACACAUCUGGUGGUUUUUUAAUUGAUGAAAAAAGUGGUUGGUUAACUGUUAAAGAUGAGCGUGUAUUAGAUCGUGAAAAAAUAUCAUUUUUAAAAAUGUUUGUUUAUGCUGUUGAAAAAAAAAAAAGUGUUGUACAAAAAAUUAAUGGUAAAUCAUCAGUUGAAGUUGAAGUAACAUUACUUGAUGCUAAUGAUAAUAAUCCAAUUUUUUUACCAACAAAUAUUUAUGAAUUUACAACAAAAAGUCAUGUUAAAAUUGGAACUGUUAUUGGACAAGUACAUGCUGUUGAUAAUGAUCUUGGUAAAAAUGGUGUUGUGAGAUAUGGUUUACAAAAAACAAGUGGUAAUAGUAGUUAUGUUAAUAUACCAUUUUCUGUUAAUUCACGUACGGGUAUUAUAAGUGUUUCUGAUACUCCGCUUACUGAAGGACGACAUGCAAUAUUUGUUGAUGCAACUGAUCAACCAGUUAAUCCAAGUGAAAGAAGAUUUUCAUUGGCUGUUGUUACGAUUGAUGUGUUUCCUCCAGGUGAGGAUAAAAUGUCAAUGCCUGACUUUGUGGGUUCACCGUAUGAAUUUUGGGUUGGGGCAAAUGUUCCAAUUGGUACAAGUGUUGGACAGAUUCGUAUCAACGAAGCAGUCAAAAAAAAAAAUCAUAUCGUCUACGAUUUACUUCACAGCUAUCGUGAAGGAGUUCCAUUUGCGGUGGAAGAACAAACAGGCACCAUAACAGUCAUUGAUAAAAUUGAAAAUUAUGUUAAAAAAUUAUUUGAUUUUGAAGCUGUUGUUACGAACGAAAGAGAUUUAAUGCUUGUUACAAAUGUCUCAAUUCAUGUUGUUAAUCCAAAUGAAAAUCGUGAUUUAUUUAUAAAAGGUACAACAAAAGCUCCAUUGGUAUUUCACACAAAAGAAAAUAGUCAAGAUGCAUUUAUUGGACAAGUACUUCCACGUAAUGUUACAAACGCAACGAAAAAUAUACGUUUUCUUAUCGCCAAUCAACGUGAUGUGCCUGAUAUAAAAAUAACUGAGGACGGUGAACUCUAUACUGUCGGUGGUCUUGACCGUGAAAUGAGAGAAAAUUACAGCAUCACUGUAAUUGCCGAGACAACGAGGGGCCUCAGGGUUUUUCAAGUUACUGUUGUGGUAGACGAUGUCAAUGAUAAUCCACCAGUAUUUGAUUCAUUAAUGUACGUGGGACGAAUCAAGGAAAACAGUAGAAUUGGAACAGAAGUGAUACUUGAUAAAAAAAUAACAACUCACGAUAUCGACAGUUCUAUCAACAGAAAUUACAGUUUAAUACUUGAAGGUGAUGACAAUAAACAAUUUACAAUUGAUCAAAAAACAGCAAGAGUUUAUUUCAAUGGUAUGGAAAAUAAUUUGUUAGAUAGAGAAGAAAAAUCAACUUAUGAAUUGCAAAUUGUUGCAACUGACAACAUAAAUCCAAAAUCAUUGGCUAAAUUGACAAUUGAAAUUGAAGAAGAAAAUGAUAAUGCUCCAGUAUUUACAAAAAUGAUUGUGACUCCAAAUUACGAUAUAAAAGUAUCAGAAGAAAUAAAUCAUGAUGAUAAAUUUAACUAUCAUAAUUCACCAAUUUUAAAUGUUCCUGAAAAUUCAACAAUAGGUACAAUGAUUGUACGUCUUUUGGCCAAUGACAAAGAUGAAAUUGACAAUGGAAAAAUAACAUAUGCAAUUGUAAAUGAAACAAUAAUGACAAUUGAUAGAAAAACAAAUAUAAAAUCACAUUUUAUAAUUGAUAAAAAAACAGGUGAAUUAUUUGUAUCACGUGUCUUACCACCAGGUUUGAAAUUUAAUCUUAAAAUAAUUGCCAAAGAUUCAGCAAAUCAAACUGAUAGUAUAACAAUAAAAAUAAUAAUUAUUGACAUUAAUGAUCAUUCACCAGUAUUUAAAAAAUCUUGGUAUGAAUUUAAUAUACCCGAGGGUAUUUAUACAAGUUAUGAACUUGGUGAAAUAACAGCAACUGAUAUGGAUAUGAAUGAAAAUGCAAUAAUAAAUUAUCAAAUAAAUUCAACAAUAAAUAAUGAUUUAUUAAAUUUAAUAUUUGAUAUUGAUUCAACAACUGGAAUAAUAACUGUAACUGGAAAACUUGACCGUGAAAUAUGUGAUAGAUAUAAUAUUAUUAUUAUUGCAUAUGACAAUGGUAAACCACGUAUGAGUUCAAGUGGAAAUGUUGCAAUAAAUGUCUUGGAUACAAAUGAUAAUCCACCAGUAUUUUAUGGCUAUACUGAUAUUAUUUAUACUCAUAAUAAUGAUAAAUAUAUUAAUAAUAAUAAUGUUGAAUUACCAAUAUAUUAUGCAUCAAUAAAUGAAAAUACAAAAAUUGGUACAAUUGUUACUCGUGUUUAUGCAAAUGACAGUGAUUUUAUUGGUAAUGGUAAUGGUUUAAUUUUAUAUGAUUUAUCAUAUUUAAUUGGUGAAAAACAAUUUUUUACAAUUAAUAGUAAAGAUGGUGAUAUAACAACAAUUACAAAACUCAAUUAUGAAGAUAAAAAUUUUCAUAAUUUGACAAUAAUUGCACGUGAUUUAGGAUCACCAAGUCUUACCUCAACAGCAUUUGUUUAUGUUGAGAUUGUUGAUGUUGAUGAACCACUAGAUUAUGAUGAUAAACUUUCAAACAAUAAGCCAGUAUUUCAACAUCAAUAUUACGAAGUUGAAAUUGAAGAAAAUUCAAUAGUACCAUUAACAUUAUUAAAAUUAAAUAUUUCAAUGUUACAUAAUAAUAAUCAAAGUCAAAAUUAUAAAUUUAGUAUUAUAUUUAAUGAUAAUGAUACUGAGUUAAAUGAUUAUUUUAAAAUUGAUUCUAAUAAUGGUACAUUGAUAUUGAUUAAAGAAGUUGAUAGAGAAUAUAGAAAUAAUUAUGAAUUUAAAGUUAAAAUUGAUUGGCAAAAAAGUGGUCGUGGUAUACCUGUUGUUAUUUAUCCAAUAACAGAUAAUAGAAUAAGUGAUUUAGAUAUUAAUGAAGCAAAAAUUAUUAUACGUGUCAAGGAUAUAAAUGAUAAUGCACCAAGAUUUAGGACAAAAGGACGACCUCUCCUUGCAGCAAUUGGUACAUCCAUCAAUUAUGGCCAUGAAAUUAUAAAAAUUGAGGCUGAGGAUCCAGAUGAGGGAAUAAAUGGUGAAAUAAGAUAUCAAAUUCUUGGCCAUGAUGAUGCACUACGUUUUGCCAUUGACCCAUUAACUGGUCAAGUGCGAUCGGUGAGUACAUUUUAUCAGGAUGCCGGACGAGUUUUUGGCUUUGAUGUCAAGGCAACUGAUCUUUGUGGCUCGGAAAAUGGAAGAAGUAGUAUAGUCAAUGUUUUUGUUUAUGUUGUUGAUGAUAAUAAACAAGUGGUAAUGGUAUUGGGUCAAAAACCAAUUGAAAUUGAAUAUCAAAUUGGAGAAAUAACACGUGCAUUACAAAAUGUGACGGGUUUAGAUGUUAGGGUGAGAAAAUUAGAGCCACAUAUUGAAAAAAAUCUUAUUGAUACAACAAGCACUGAUGUUUAUCUGUACGCUGUUGAUCCAGUCUUGAAUGUCAUGGUUGAAAUGGAUAAUCUAAAUAGUGUAUUUAGAAAAAAAAAGAGUGAAAUUAAAGGUGAACUUGAAAAAUAUCGUCUACUUGAUAUCACUGGAAAUUCAAUGAGACGUCAGCAUUAUUUAAUGUCCACACUUGAAAUGGGUGCGAUUUUACUUGGAUGUGUUAUUUUCUUAGGAGCAUUGAUUAUUGCCUCUUGUAUUGCUUGUAUUCGACGAGGCAAAAGACACUGCCGUGAUCCACCUUUAGGUGCUGCGAUGUUUCCAGCUGGUGGACCAGUUGGUUUUGCAUUGACUGAGCAAAGCACAUCACUGGGAAAACCAUCUCUAUUUCCAGCUUUUGUUGAUGGACUACGUUAUUAUCCAGAGCCAUUUCCAAAUGAUGAAAGAAGGCUCAGUAUUUGUGAACAUGAGCCUGGCUGUGUUCAACACAAUCCAUGCCGAUCUCGUAGUUGUGGAAUGACCAAGAAAAUACCACAAAUUUCUAGUGUAAAUAGUGCAGGAUGCCAUAAGUCUUCAGUAGCUUCACUUCACUCGAGUGGACAAGAUUCUGGAAUAGUAGCACGUCCAUGUCACUGUGGCCAUUCAUCGAGUCCUUCAAGUACUGAUAGCAGCAAGAUAAUGAAUAUGGAGAUAUUGCGUUCCAGUAGCUAUGAGGAUUCCCUGAAGUCACUACAUCGAAAUAGCCUGAGUAAUGAACAAUCCUCUCGGGGACAUGAUACCACUGUGAUUGGAGAUAGUGGAGCUGUUGGUGAACAUCAAACAGUCAACAAAAAUAAACGACAAAGGUUACAUCAUACUUUGUCAAAUGCAGAUGUAAUAUAUGAUCGAGAUACAAGCUUACACAGAGAAAUGCGAUAUCGUAACAACAAUGAAAAAUUAUGACAAUGAUUCGUGAGCAUCCCACUGGGGGUAAUGAUAGUGUCAACGUUGUCAGGUUACAUGGACGAGCUGGGUCGAGCCACUCACUGUAUUGGUAAAAAAUGUAUUAUAUAAUUAAAAUUUAAUUACUAGUAAGCCAAAUUAUUUCAAAAGUCAUUUAAAUGGUUACAUAAGUCAAUUAAAUUUUUCUAGUUUUAUUUUUUUUUUUUAAAUAAAAAUUGACAUUGAAUAAAAAUUUAAAAAAUAAAUGUUUUAAUU
rnacentral:misc_RNA from 1 species